rnacentral:rRNA from 1 species
UCGGGAAUUUUGGGCAAUGGGGGAAACCCUGACCCAGCAACGCCGCGUGAAGGAUGAAGUAUUUCGGUAUGUAAACUUCGAAAGAAUAGGAAGAAUAAAUGACGGUACUAUUUAUAAGGUCCGGCUAACUACGUGCCAGCAGCCGCGGUAAUACGUAGGGACCAAGCGUUGUUCGGAUUUACUGGGCGUAAAGGGCGCGUAGGCGGCAUGACAAGUCACUUGUGAAAUCUCUGGGCUUAACCCAGAACGGCCAAGUGAUACUGUCGCGCUAGAGUGCAGAAGGGGCAAUCGGAAUUCUUGGUGUAGCGGUGAAAUGCGUAGAUAUCAAGAGGAACACCUGAGGUGAAGACGGAUUGCUGGGCUGACACUGACGCUGAGGCGCGAAAGCGUGGGGAGCAAACAGGAUUAGGAUACCCUUGUAGUCCCUGAGCGGGCUGGCAAGGCGCAU